rnacentral:rRNA from 1 species
CUGGUUGAUCCUGCCAGUAGUUAUAUGCUUGUCUCAGAGGUUAAGCCAUGCAUGUCUAAGUUUAAGUUUUUAACAUCAAGACUGCGAAGGGCUCAAUAUCAUAGUUAUAGUGUCACUGGACAUCAAAGAGAGGAUAACGGUAGUAAUUCUAGCGCUAAAACUCACAAUACGUCAAUCUUGUCUGAUUAUUCGCCCGUACCCGCUCUUGAGAGCAUUCUGUUGACGGUGAAUAACUCAAAUUUUGUAAACGCAAGCAUCCAGUUCAGUUUCUAGCCUAUCAGCUGGUUGGUAGCAUAUUGGAUUACCAAGGCAUUAACGGGUGACGGGGGAUUAGGGUUCGAUUCCGGAGAGGGAGCCUGAGAAAUAGCUACUACAUCCAAGGAAGGCAGCAGGCGCGCAAAUUACCCAAUCUUGAAUUAAGGAGGUAGUGACAAGAUAUAGCAACAUCGGCAUAAUGUUGAUGAACUGCCAUGAGUUAUUAUUAAAAGCUAUAACGAUAAUCAACUGGAGGGCAAGUCUGGU